CCUACGGGGGGCAGCAGUGAGGAAUAUUGGUCAAUGGACGAGAGUCUGAACCAGCCAAGUAGCGUGAAGGAUGACUGCCCUAUGGGUUGUAAACUUCUUUUAUAAAGGAAUAAAACGAGGCACGUGUGCCUUUUUGCAUGUACUUUAUGAAUAAGGAUCGGCUAACUCCGUGCCAGCAGCCGCGGUAAUACGGAGGAUCCGAGCGUUAUCCGGAUUUAUUGGGUUUAAAGGGAGCGUAGAUGGGUUGUUAAGUCAGUUGUGAAAGUUUUCGGCUCAACCGUAAAAUUGCAAUUGAUACUGGCAGUGGUGAGUACAGUUGAGGUAGGCGGAAUUCGUGGUGUAGCGGUGAAAUGCUUAGAUAUCACGAAGAACCCCGAUUGCGAAGGCAGCUUACUAAACUGUGACUGACAUUGAUGCUCGAAAGUGUGGGUAUCAAACAGGAUUAGAUACCCUGGUAGUC
rnacentral:rRNA from 1 species